rnacentral:rRNA from 1 species
UACGUAGGGACCGAGCGUUGUCCGGAUUCAUUGGGCGUAAAGAGCUCGUAGGCGGCUGUUCAAGUCGAACGUGAAAACUCGGAGCUCAACUCCGAGCCUGCGUUCGAUACUGGACGGCUAGAGUCUGGUAGGGGGAUCUGGAAUUCCUGGUGUAGCGGUGGAAUGCGCAGAUAUCAGGAAGAACACCAACGGCGAAGGCAGCUCGCUGGGACGGAACUGACGCUGAGGCGCGAAAGCGUGGGGAGCGAACAGG